AAGUCUGGGCAACAGAACAAGACUCUGUCAAAAAACAACAACAACAACAACAACAAUAUAGAAAUAUAAUACAUAUCUACAAAAGCCAAUUGAAGUCAAACUGGAAUUCUGCAAAGCAAUCUUUAUGAAUGUGAGUAAGUUAGGUCAUAUUAGGUUGGUGCAAAAAUAAUUGCAGUUUGGCCAUUAUGUUUGCACCAACAUAAUACAUCUUUUAUUCUCAGUGCAAGAUUUUUGAUCUACAUUUCUGAAUAGCUUGGAAAAUAAAGUAUGGUCACAUCAGAACCAGUGGCAGGUAAAAUUUCUAAUUAUAAAUUGGCUCAAAUGAUUUAUAUUUGACUUUGGAAUGUCUUGCUAAUAUCUUCGUACAUGUAUUUUACUUUUUGCUGUUAAAACAUUUUCUAAACAUACUGAUAAAGACUAGAGAGAUGGAUCAGAAACAUACUGGGUGUUAAAAAAUCAUCCCGAGGUUUAAAAUGUUCUUUCUAAAUUUAGAUAAACGCAAGAUAAAUCCCACAGGAAGUUCACAAUUCCAUAGAUGUCUAAAACUAAAAGAAUGCAGAGAUUUUCUCAGCUCCAUGCCGUUUCUUGUAAUUGUAUGUUGACUGAGUAGAGAGUUAUAAAAACACCCCAGCCUGAUUUUAUGCAACUAUAUUGCUGUUUGUCAAAAGAAUACUUAAAAACUUGUCAAAAGAAUAUUUACAAACUAUAUUUAAGAAUAUUUAAAUAACUGCUAUAAAAUUUAAAUAAUACAAAAAUAUACAAAGAAAAAUUACAUCAUCUAGUCAUUUCAUAAAUAAACACAUACAUAAAUAUACACAUAAAUAAAUAUCUUAAUAUUUAGUGAACAACACCAUUCUAGAUGGCCCUAUGUGUUGGUGUAGAGAGAUUGAUAGAGAUGAAUAGUCAGAUAAAAAUAUGAUUCUGCCACAGUGGUUAUUCCUUAGCAAAAAUGUUUUAUGUUUAGUUCUACUUGAAUUUUAAGAAGAAAAAGAAAUUAAAUGAACUUGAAAAAUGACUGAACUUCAAAUAAAUGUUUAUUUGACCCAAGAAAUAUUAGCUUCUGAAAGAAGUGUUUUUAAUAAAAAGUGUUUUUAUUUUAGACCAAAUCUUUCUCAUUGAUGAGGAAAUUAGUACAAUUAUUCUUCCUUCCAGAUAGUCUUCCAAGUUAUUUAGGAUUUUAUUAUUGAAAAUGUUAUAUUAUUUACAUUUAUAAGUAUAUCCCCAAUAUUGUUUGGUCUUAUUCUAUGCUGCACAGGAAAUAUGUUCACCCCUUUGUUAUUUUACCAAGUUUUCUCUGUAAGGGAAAGUGCCUUGCUGUAAUUUUGUGUUUAUUAGAUUUAAGCAUUCAGUUACUUUUCCAGAAAGAAUCAUGGUUAGGCUACUCUCUAGUUUCUGAAUGUUUCACAGUGUCUGCAAAUGGUCUUAUACUGGAAGAGCAUGUCACGGUAUAAAAUAAUAUAUCUAUAUUUAAAUUUCUCUAAAUUUUGCACACUUUUUCAUGUAGCACUCAGUGUUGCUGUGAAGUUCUCUGAGGUCAUUCCUCCCACCACCACCCCCUUGGUUAGUAUGAUUUACCUGUGCUGCCUGGAACACCAUAUGGCUAUAUUUUUAAUUCCUAAAUUUUAAUAGCUACACUAGGAUUUGUUAGAUUAAUUGUUCUAUGUCAAAUUUUCCUGGGACUAAGUGUGUCACUUUAGUAAGGAAAUUUAAGUCCUUCUGUAUUUUCAAAACUUUUCUUCUAUUACAUCUUUAAUUUUUUUUUCUGUGGCAUUUGCUCUAUUCUCUUCUUCAAGAGAACUAGUCCUAUUUUUCUUGUGUACUGUAAUCACUUUUAUCAAUAUACUAAAACUAUUCAUAGACAUAUUUUAUGUCUUUAAUCUUUUUCUUUUCAUUUUAUAUAAUUUCUUCUAGUUUGUAUACCAUUCUGUGUUUUCAGUCAUGCAUAUUUUAUUUUGCUUCUACUUUGACAUUUAUAGGGAUUUGUUAAUUCCACUAAUUUCCUGAGCUCUACCCACUGCUUUUCAUCUUUUUGAAUACUUAUAGUUCUUUUUAAAUACUCUUUCCAUUGCAUAAUAUGUAAAUAUUUUUUUUUUAACUAUAGGUUAACUAUUUGUCUGAAUUCCACUGGUUUCUUGAAUAAUUCAUCUUCUGAUGUAUAGCCCUUCUUCCUUUUUACUUGGGUCUAAUUGAUGAUUUCAUGCUGUUUCUGUAAUUAGCUACUUUUUCUUGAAAAAGGCCAUUUACUCAAUUACUCUAAUUCUUGAUUAGGGCAAUUUUACUCAAUCUCAAUCUCUCAAUCUCUCAAUCUCUCUCUCUCUCUUUCUCUCCUCCUCCAUCCCUCUCCCUUUCCUCCCUCCAACACAGCUCUGUGUGUCAGAAUCUAGAAAUUUCUGUUUCCUCUUCCUCCUUCAUGCAACUUCCUCUUUGGCACUGUUCCUAUGUGAUGAUCCUGAGGAAUGGACAAUAAAAUGAUUUUGCCUUCAGUACCACCUCCCUUGACUUUCUGCAGCAUGAAAUUUCUAGGUCAUUUCCUUACUCAUAGGAUACAGCCAUUCCCAUGUCCUGAUACUCUAAUCAGAUUGUCAGAUAUUACUCUUGAAACUGUAACCCUUUAAAGGAAACCUCUUUCAUCUGCCAUUUUUGAAGUUUGUGUUGACUCUCAGAUUCUUCCCUCAUCUUGGUGCAGACUUCGAUUUCUAUUUUUACAGUAUUUCACAGUACAUAUGACUGUGUAUGGUUUGAUGCUAUGGCUAUUUUUGUUUUACUAAAGAUUGAAGGGUUGUAUUGUUAGUGUGGUGGCUCUCUACUUUUCAGGGUUUGUUGUUUUGGGAAUGUUUUGAAAGAAAUUAGUUCUGAUGCUUUUCACUAGAAAUAAUCUAUGACCUGAGCUCUUGUGGACUCCUAAAGUUUGUGCCACUGUGUUUCGGUCUUACUUCAAACAUUACUUUUAAAAAAAAGCCUCUUUCUAUUGAAUUAUUUCAAACAAAUCAAAUAUAUUAUGUUUCCUGAAUACCCCUUGCUUUAGUUGGCUUUUCCCUUCCCAUAAUGAAGGAUGAGGACCUUCCUUUCCUUUGUCUUCUGUCUUUCACAGUCGUUUCUGGAAUACCAGCCCUUCUAUCAGAACUGGAUGGAGACCUGUGGACACCCCUAGUAAGCUGCAGAUUUUUCACAGUGGUCAUUUGACCUCCAGAGCAAGCCAAUAAUUUGUCACUUCAUUAAACUGGUAUUUAUAUUUAUUAAGUUUUUUGAGAUACAAUCCCUAGUAUUGAGUGAUAGAAGAGCAGAAAAGAAGUCUACUGUUGUUAGCACCUCAACUAACUGAACCCAUUAAAUCAAAAGCCUUUCUCUUAACUGGACUCACCUUCCUUAGAAGACGAUUUAACAAUGUUUUCUUUCUGCUCAAGGAUAAUCAUUUAGAAUUUUAGCCCUCUUCCUUCUUUCCAAACAGCUUAUCAAAGAAGGCUAUGUAAUUGUCCCCCUAACAGAAGUUCUAAUAAUAUAAAUUCCUCCCACUCAUUAGAUUUCAGUUAUGUUUUACAAUCCCUUUUGGACAGGAGCUCUGGGAAGCCAAUGGCACCUGCUGUCUACCCCUCCAUCUAACUUUCUUCCCUUUACUACAUUCUGGAGAAGCCAUCUCAGUUGCUCUAAGUACUUAUGUAUUUGCCUUUUCCUAAUAUUGGAGAAAAUUUAAGCUUUCUAUUUUUUUAAUGGCAUACUCCACUGCAUCCCAAUUUGCUUUUGUGAGUAGAAGAGACAGGUGUAAAUUUUUCUUUUAAUUUUUACUUUAAGUUCCAGGAGACAUGUGCAGAACGUGAGGUUUGCUGCAUAGGUAUACAUGUGCCAUGGUGGUUUGCUGCAUUUAAUGACCUGUCCUCUAAGUUCCCUCCCCUUGCUCCCCACCCCUAACAAGCCCUGGUGGGUGUCGUUCCCUUCCCUGUGUCCAUGUGUUCUCAUUUCAACUCCCACUUACGAGUAAGAACAUGCAGUGUUUGGUUUUCUCUUCCUGUGUUAGUUUGCUGAGGAUGAUGGCUUCCGGCUUCAUCCAUGUCCCUGCAAAGAACGUGAUCUCAUUCCUUUUUGCGGCUGCAUAGUAUCCCAUGGAAAUUUUUAGCUAGUUAAAUUGACUUGUAUACACUCUGGGCAUGCCCACCAGGAAUUCUCCCACAAAUAAACAUCCCCUGUACUGUGUUAAGCAAUAAAUGAUUCUGGAACCUGUUCUUUUCUGCCCAGUUUAAACCCUCUGCUUUUUGGAUUGGGCAAGUUUUCUAUACUCUUUAAUAAAUUUGUUUUCAUAUUUGUUGUCAACCAGCUGACAGUUUCUCUGCCCUUUUUAUAACCUACUUCCUGAUUCAAGACAUUGGGUCAAGACUUUUAAAAGGCCUUGACUUCCCUUUUGCUGAUUCCUCUUCAUUAUUUCACCUAUUAAACUAGGCAUGAAAAAAACUCACCAUUGGGCCCUCUUGCCUACCCACUACUCCCUCAGAAAACUUGCAGAGUUCAAGCAUCACUUGCAAUCAAAUUAUUCUCAUACCUGCAUUUCUAACCCUUAGUUUCCUCCUUUCAACAUAUCAUUAGAAGUGUGAUUUUCAUUGCCUAAAUAUAUACUUCCACUUAAGUAGUCACUGGUCACUGGAAUGAUAGAGAAAUUUUAUCUUUGCUCCAAGAGAUCUACUUCUUCUCCAUGUACUCUACUGCUUAUAGAAAUUGACUGCAUUUCCUUUCCAAAGGUGACAAGUUUAAGUCAUUUCUAAUACCUGCUUUUUGUCUGUCUCAACCACAACUUUAAUAGCAUUUCUUGAACACAGGCAUCACACUGUGGACUUUAUUUAUGUUAUCUCAUUUAGUAAUCACAGAAUACAAAGAAGUAGACAUUAUUAUCUCAGUUGUUCUGGUAAGGAAACUGAGGCUUAGUGAGGUUAACUUACUCAAAGGCCCCAUCUAGUUUGUGACAGAGCCAACAUUCAAGUCUAGGGUUGAUGGACUCUAAAGUCAAUGUGCUCUUAGCCACUUUGCAUAUCAUUGCCUUAAACCCAUCCCUCUUUAGGUCUAGGGUAGGCUUCUUGAGUCUGCAGCUACUCUCUUUUCAACAAACAUCAAUCAAAUGGCUAUGAUAUCCCAGACCCAAGGUAACAAUAUAAAGAUGGGUAGGAUGAGGUUCCUGUUCAAAAGACUUUUGGAGCUAGGGAAAAACAGAAGCACUAAAGCUUGGAAGUAAUUUUAUCCAUUAAACAUAAAGUGAAACUGUUAAAAAAUUAAAAUUAAACUCAUAUAAAUAGGUGAAAUGUAUUUUUUCAGGUAUUUAUUACUUUAUGUGUGUAACUUAACAACUCAGCAAGACCGAUUUUGGCAGAAAGGUGUGGCUUAUAUGAUUCUAGAAUAUAGAAUACAGUAUGAAACAGGAUACUUGACUUGCACAGAAAAAUAUCAGUGAAGAUAGUAAGGAUUAAAACUCAUUUUGUAUUUGCUCCAUGAAGCAGUCACUGCUUUCUAGUGCCCUUGAUUCACCUGAAUGUCCAUACCCCAGCUGUUUAGCUCAUUUCCAUGUGCAUGCCCCAUUUCUCCUUCUUGAGAGAAAACACCAUCUUUUAAAUAUUUUCUUAAUUUUUCACAAUCUGUUUUCCAGAGUGGAUGGCAAUGCUAACAGGCAAAAUUUCUGUUUCUCUUUAAUUUCCAAUUAAAAAGUAGCUCAGAAACACUUAGCAUACACUUUUGCUCUGUUUUCUUCAUAGUAUUACAGCACAAAGCUACCUUGUUUAGUUGUCCUGUCUGUCUCUCUCCAUGAGCAGAAGGAUCUUGCAGUCUCACUCACCACUAUAUCCUCAAAGACUGACGCCAUGAUAGGAGUUUAAUAACUGCUGUGUGAGUAUAGGGAUAAAUGAAAAGAUUUGGGACAACAGCCACUUUAGCCCUCACUCCUGUCCUCCAGGUCACUCCUCUCUUGACCACUGCAUAAAGGACAUCAGGCCUCAGCUGCCUGGCCCCUUCUUUUCCUCACCCCCAACCAUCCAUUCCUCCUGGGUAUCUUUAUGGAAUCUAAGUGCUGAUUAGAAAUCCUUCCAGAAUCGCCUUCUAUAAUGUUUCUGUUUUAUUAUCUUUAUUUUUCUAGUAGACUACAAGAUACUUGAAGGCAGGGUGUGUCUUUUAUUUUGUCACUAACAGCAUCUAGUAUAUUACUUGGGCCUUCACUAGAUGUUGUUCCAGUGGAUAUUUGUUAUUGAAUGUUUUUUAUUAAUUGGCAAAAAAUUAAGUUUGGAUGUGUGCCAUGUAUAGCUGCACAUUUUUUAUCAAGUGGUGAGUAUUCUUGUUGCCGCUGCUUCAAAGACUUAGUAAUUAAUACAUGUAUCUUUGCUCUCUCUCUCUCUCUUGAUUCAGUACCUAUUGCAGAUGAUAGCCUCAUUUGAGAAACACAGAUUUUCUUUUUAUCAUUUAUUUCCUACCCAGGAGUUAUUUCUUCAUAAAAAAUUAGUCAUCCAAUCCAGGUCCUAGUGAGAACUACAUGAGUUUGGGAUAUCAUGUGCAUAUAGGAGCUAAAAAUAUAUAUAUUGUAAAUUUCCAAAAGUAUACAUUUGGUGCUUAACUCACUAUUCACAGUUACUUUAUUAUUUUUCCUACUAAUCCUUUCCAACUAACUUCUAUCCAGAGGAUCCACUUCCCCAAUCGAUGUGAUUUUGCUUUCUAUUUUUCAGUAAAAUUUUCAAAACAUAUGCAUUAAAUAUAAUAUUAGAUUGUGACAGUCAGACCAUUCAUUUCAUUUCUAGGCACAAAACAACAUUUGCUUAAAAAUGUGGAUCCUGGAAUCACAGUGGUUUGGGGUAAAUUCAUGCCAUGCUGUGCAAAAGUGGCACAGCCUUGAAUUGGUUAAAAUACUUCAGGGCUCUGCUUCCUCAACUAUAAAAUAAGACUAAUAAUACUUCCUAAUUUAUAAAGUUUUAAUAUGAAACCCAAGUGAAAUAGAUGACUAUUAUUAUUGUUAUUAUUAUGCAAGUGUUUCUGGGAUAAGUUGGUUUUUUUUGUUUGUUCUUUUUUUUUUUUCUUUUUUUUUUUAGAGAAAGUCUUGCUCUUGUCCCCCAGGCUGGAGUGCAAUGGCACGAUCUCGGCUCACGCAACCUCCGCCUCUCAGGUUCAAGCGAUUCUCCUGCCUCAGCCUCCUGAGUAGCUGGGAUUACAGGUGCCUGCCGCCAUGCCUGGCUAAUUUUUGUAUUUUUAGUAGAGACGGGGUUUCACCAUGUUGGCCAGGCUGGUCUCGAACUCCUGACCUCAGGUGAUCCGCCUGCCUCAGCCUCCCAAAGUGCUGGGAUUAGAGGUGUGAGCCACUGCACCUGGCUGGGAUAAGAUUUUUAUAACUCUAUUUUGAGAAGGAUUUUUGUCUGAAGAAACUCACUUUUAUCACUUUAUUUUGCCCAAAUAAAGCACUAUAGUCCAUAUCUCUGUUUCAAAUAUUAUUUAUUAAAUUCAAUGUUUCCUGGAUAAUAUGCCCUUUCUGAAUGACAGUCAAAUGCCAUUCAGUAAUUCCCUCAUUUUUUUCUGCCAAUCCUAAUAUAUCCUCAUUUGUUUAUAAACAAUUCAUUUUUAAAAUUAUACUCUCAUAUAAUAAGUGAAGUGUCUUUAUUUUGUUCAGAUAUUUAUUACUUUAUAUGUGUUUAACUUCAUAACUCAGCAAGAAAUUAUAGCAUCAUUUUGGAAAAUCUCCAGUCAAACUCUGAUCUUUGCCUAUAAUGUAUCUGGUUUUAUUUAACUGAAAUGGGAGAAUUGAAUACUUUUAGGUUUUUCUGCUAUUCUUAGUUGACUAUUUGACUUUAGUUGUGUCGUUCUGUAAGAAACCUUGACAAGUUAAAUUUAUCCAUACAGAAACCUAUAGUUAGGAGACCUGUGAGAUGACUAUAAUUUCCUUCCCAUUAGUUUCAAUGAAUUCCAUGCAUGUGAAAGAGAAUUGGAGAGUGGAGUCUGCAGCCCUGUGUUUCUCGUUGUGCAGGUAUAUUGAGGAGGGAGAUAUAGUCCAGGUCUCCUUAAGUUGUUCCUCUGCUGCACAUUACCCUUAAUCCUCCUUUGAGCAAAUGCAGACUAGAGCAGCUAUGCCAAGAAGAGAAGACUUAACUCUUUAAACACAAGGGGCCCUUGGACACUUAGCUUAUGCUUCAUACAAAACCUGUGAAAUGGUUAAUAUAGAAAUGUGAGUGUCAUUUGUAUUGUAGCCAAUAUGAACCAGAAGAAUUGAGCUGUAGCCAGCAUUUAUUUAAGCAUCAUUUUUGCCAUCUGGAUUCUUUUGUGGGGAAAGAACCAUUCGAAGGGAAUUGCCUUUGGUUACAAAGGUGAUUUGACUUUUCUCUCUAUUUAUAUGUGCACCAUCCCACUGGCACCGUUGUUCAAGGUUCCAUAAAGAGACACUUUUGUUCUACUGCUGCUUGAGAGUUUAGGUAGCAUAGGAGAGCCUGAAGAAGAUGUGGGAAAGCGUAUCAAACAUUUUUGUGGACAAAUUGGAUUCAUAAAGGACAUUGGCCUGUAUGUGGAAAAACCAACUAAAUAAUUUAAUCCAGGUAAAAAUUAUGCAGCCAUUCACUCACACAGGACUCAUUGGCGUCUUCCCUAAAAUACAAGUCACUUGAUGUGGCAAAUCAUUUGUAGGUCAGUGUUCAAACCCAAAUGCUUGUUGGACACCUACCUGUCAGCUGGUUUAGGUACUGAUUCAAUCCAUUCCUUAGCAAUGAACCUGUAAACAAAAAAUGGCUAUCACCCAGGAAUCAUAAUUUCUAAUUACCUUUGACCUGUGGCAAAGUACAAUAAUUUAAAGAUGAUAGUGAGCCUCUAUUACACAAAUGUUUUGAAGAUUAAAACUUGAGAAGAUUGGCAUUCACAUCUGGGAAUUAUAAAUUUUAUUUUGAUGUUAGAAGAAAGGCUUUUACAUGAGUAUGAUCUGAUAUAUUUUAUUGUUAGGUUUAUAGGAUUCAGAAUCCGUGGUUAUUUUAUGAUUAUGUGAUCAGGUAAUUUUUAUCUUAUCUGAGAGCUCUUUCAUAAUACUGCAUUAAUUAAAUCGCUCAUCUGAAUAAGGAGUUUAAAUGGUACAGUGGGCAAUGAAGUAAAAUCUGUAGAAUUCCCAGCCAUAGCACAUAUUAUUUUAAACUAUAUUAGAGAUAAAACUAUUUAUUGAGUGCUAACUUCUGCAGAGCCUUAUCUUAAAUACCCCUAGAAUAUAUAAAAGAAACACUCACAAGUAAAGGUCUUUUAAACCAACAAUAAAGUAAUAGAUCAACAAAUGCAAAAUAAUAUAAUCUGUGCAAAAUAUUUAUGUGCCAUUCACAUACACGUUACAAAAAUGAUUGAAAUGGAAAUGAAAAUUAUUGGUAUUCUAAGUAUUCAUCCCCUUAUACUAUUAAUUGGAAACUGAUAUAUUAUUUAACUCUUAAGCAGAAAUGUGUGAUGUUUAAAAAUAAACAGCAAAUUAUGAAGUCACAAGGUAAGUGUUAAAAUACAUAUAUAUGUGUGUGCAUGUGUGUGCGUGUGUAGAUGUAUUAAUCUCAUCAUUAAAAGGAGGAAAAAAGAGCCUUUAAAGUUUCCAUUAUCCAUUAUGUCAGGUAGCAAAUAUCUUCUCAAUGUAACUCCAGACAUUAAAUCUGUCGAGAGGAAUGCUGUAAAAUAAAUGUCUGGGAUACCUUCAUAAACAAAAAUCUUAUUUCCAUAAUUCAUACAGCUGGCUGGCAUUUAUUGGCACGUCAGGUGCAAUGGGGACAUUUCAGGAACAUUAACAUGUACAGCAUCAUUUGUCAACAAAGCAACAAUGUAAGCAAAUCGUUCAGAACUCAUACAGAUUUACAGCUUUCUCCGCCAGCUGCUAAUUACGGUGUGCUCGGCCUAUUUGGUAUGGUCUUUUUAUUGGAAAAUGACAAAGGGGUUAUAGUAUCCCAGUUUGGAAUAUAGAUGUGGCUUUUAGUAAUAAUAUGAAUGUAAUAUGACGAUGUAGCUUGGAGUUGUGAUCCAGUUUUCCUGGUCUUAUAAUUGAUCAGCUUUGAUUGAUGAAGGACAAGAGAAAUUCACAGCCUAUUUUGUUUCUGAUGUAACUAACCUCUAAAACAAAGGAAAAAUAGGGGAAAAAUUAUCAAAGACCAUGUCACAGCAGUUCUUAAUGUUUUUCCCUAUGGAACAUGACACAUAAUAUUUACCUCUCAAAGAAAAUCUGAUAUGUUGAUUGCUGGUGGAGCAAAUGUUACAGGAGCCUGUACAUUUCAGAAUUCUACGUUGUACUUUGAACAAUCAGAAAGGCCUUACACAAAUAUGCUUAAAUAAUGUUAAGGUUAUGACAGAAGGUGACAAAUGUCAGCAGCAUCAAAGUUAACAUCUAUAAUCACCCCCUGCUUACAUUGUUCAGUUUUAGGAAAAGACACAACCGUACAAGCAAAUGAUGGAGUGUCAACUCUACCUUCAAAUUCCCUGGAUUGUGUCAAGGCAUAUUAUAAUCCAUAAAAUGAAGAGUGGUGCUGUCUUUGUGCCCAUGAUGUAAAUCUGUAUUUAGAGAUGGUCCUUCUGUUUAACCAAAAUGCAAAAAGCUAAAUUGGUAAAUACUUAUUCGAACAUUGUUUAGAUUUAUCCCAUCCCAAACCUUAUUAAAAUCCAUUAAAUUCCAGAGUGAACCGAUUUGACAUUCAGCAAAUCAGUUGCUGUCAGAGCAGCUGACUUGACCAGAUAUUAAAAUAUUUUCAACUUUGCUGGCAUCAGAUCCUCGGCCCUUCCUAGAGCUGAUAAUGUCAGGACAGCAAUGGUUGACUGGAUCCAAAAUGCAUUAUACUAAAUAAGUAUCAUUCUCAUGUUCCAAAAAUAAAGAUUCUAACUCCAGAAAUAGUUUGCAGAUAGUGUCCUUCUAUUUUACGUAAUGCCCCGUGGAAUCCUGUACCAUCUUCGCUUACACAUUUGUCAUUAUGUAUUGUAAUUGUUGGUUUCUUCCUCCUCCACUAGAAUAGGAUUCCUAAAAUCAGCAAGUAAAUUAUGUUUAAUUUUGUACCCUCAGAGCCUAGUACUACCUGGAAUAUAGUAGAUGCCAAAUUAAGACUAGUCAAAAGAAUGAAUAAAUGUGUACAUAUUGGGGCAGCCCUGCAUGAGAUUGUGAUGGAGGAGGAAUUUGCUUUAAUAUCUUGCCCACUCAUCCUUUCUUGAGGAUACCGUCUCCUAAGUCCUCUGAGAUGCAUAUUUCCCAUAUACUUUUUUCUUUGUCCCUUAUUCUAAAACCUACUUGCAGAAGAGUAUCUGAAACUCAUAAACAUUAAGAUGUAAAAUAUAAACAAUCUUCCAAAGUAUUGUCUUUUCCAGGGGCAUUUAUAUUCAAACCAAGAUCCAUCCCUUAAACUGAAAUUGAAAAUUAAUUUGAGGGUAUUAGACAUUAUUUUUUAUGUAAAGAAACAUUUUUACAGUGAAGGUACCAUCUUGGUUUUCUUUAGUAGAAAGGCACUCACUCAACUUUUCCCCAAACCACCCUUGCUUGGUGCUAAAUGGAGAUGGUGUUGGUUCUAUUCUCCAGGAUUAUGUGGCAUGUAGAUUCUACUAGGAAUUGAAAUGAAGACCUUAGAAUGGAAAUGUGGCCUAGCUAAGGAAGAAUACUAUGAUUUUAAUUUGCAUUAACAUGAAGUCCUUCUAGACUGAGUCAAUAUGAAGAGAACCAUCUAGUGCAUCAGAACAGAGCCUUUUCAACCCAUAUUAUUGUCUUUGUGAAGCAAAACGUGCUGCUGGAAUUAAAAACAAGCAAAAGGUUGUAUUUUUUACUGUUCAAAGAAUGCUAAAACUUUCAAUGCAUAACAACCCCAGAGAAACAGGGUUGAUGGAAUCAGAGAAGUUGGAGGACAGACACCUUAAAUUUAAAAUUGAAUACUUGUGAAGAGUUGCAACUCAUAGUCUGCCUUUAAAAUAUAGCUGGGCAAGGAGGUCUUGUGUCACCCUAUAUGAUGAUCACUUCAAAUUGGUUUUAAAUUUACAACAAUUAUUUGAAUAAAAGCCACUAUUUCCAAAGCCACCCAUUUGCCUAAAAUAAUCUCUGAAAGUAAGUUAUUUAUAUAUAUUUAUUUAUAAACUAGCAUUUGUAUUAACCCUUACCCAAAUGGUUAUCCUUACUUGUAUUUAAAACCACUAAGUCAGUGCUUUAGAAUAGUCUAUGUUAAUCUUUACAAAUAAUUCAUGUUGCGCUAAUUAAUGAUUCAUACAUACUUGAGAGAGAAUGGAUUGAUGUUUACCUGUUCAUUAUGCAAAAAGUCUUCACAGAAAAUAUUUCCAAAAUUCCAGGAACAUUUUAAGUGUUUUUAAUUAUUUUAGAGGUAUCUAUGUAUCUUCACAAAAGUAAUAUUCUAACUAUAAAUCCCUCAUAACUAAUCAUUUAUUCAGACCCUCUAAGGACCUUCACUAAGAACCAUUUAUUAUCCUCAAUAAUACAUAAGAAUCCUAUUUUAAAUGAUCUCAAAGUUGACUACAAUUUGUAUUUCUCACUAAUUUAAACAGGCCUCUCCUAUUCUUGUCCUCUUCCUACCCCUCCCUCAAGCUUCCCAUGGUAAUACAUGGCUACUAACUGGAUUGAAAGCAUAAAUGAUAUGAAGCAGAGUUUUGAGAAUUUGUAAUUCAGAAAAUAUGGCAAAAUCUAGGAAUUCUCAUAUUUUAAUAUCACUAUUAGUUGAUUUGCUUAAAUGCAAAAUAUUAUAAUAAAGAAAUAAAAAUAUAAAAUUUGUAUUUUAUAAGAGCAAUACUAAAAUUACAAUUUAGGAUGCAUAAUAUGUAUAUAUUUAAGCCUAUAGAUCUCAAUACAAAUGCAACUGAAUGUAGAAAGUCUACCUUUAAUCCAGUUUAUGAGGAAAUGUCUUAACGUCACCUUUCUAGGAGAAAGCAAGAGACCAAUCAUGAGAACCAUUUAGUCCAGCAAUCUCUCAAGAUGCCAGUCGCCAGCUUGAUGGAGUGAGCAUUUAAUUAGCCUAGUAAUUCCCUCCUAUUGUUCCCUUCUCAACUCUAAUUGAAGAGAGACCUUAAUCUCAAAGGAGAAAUAUUUAACUUUUAAAAAUGUCACAGAAAGGUGGAAAGUAACUGUUUUGUUAAGUAAAUAGCAUUUACUCACAUGAGAAAAUAACUUUUAAACAAAUAUUUUAUGUUUGUUUCUUAAGGUCUGUAGUAAAACAAAAACAAUUUCAAGCAAACAAACCUGAGAGCUCAAUAUCAACAGAUUCUUUUGAAAAGGAAUUAUCAAUUGCUGCUGCCAUAACAAAACACUUAAGACUGGGUAAUUUAUAAAGAGCAGAAGUUUAUUCCCUCACAGUUCUGGGAUCUGGGAAGUCCAAGAUCAAGAUACUAGCAUCUAGUGAGGGUCCUCUUGCCAUGUACUCACCUGUCAGAAGGCAGAAGAACAAGAGAGAGUGGGCCUACUCCUGCAAACCCUUUUUGUAGUGGCAUUAAUCCAUUCAUGAGGGCAAAGCCUUUAUGACCUAAACUCCUCCCCAAAGUCUCCACCUUCCAACACUGUUGCAUUGAGGGUUGUUUCCAACAAUGAAUUUUACAGGACACAUACAGACCAUAGCAGUUAUUAUAAGGACAUAUUUCAAGAAUAAGCUACAUUAUCCCAGCAGGAGUGUCUGAAAUGCAUGAAGUUAAGGCUAACAAAGAACAUCUAAACUAAUAGGUAAAUCCAAAGAAACUCCAUGAAACAAGGAAGUCUCAUUUGUGUGGUGUAAAAUAAAAGUCUAGAUACGGAUCAAAUCUUGGUCAAAAAUAGCAUCAAAUGUGGCUAAAGGAGUGAUCAAAGUUAAAAACUUCAAAUGCCUUUAGUAUUUCUGGAAGUAAAGACUUCAGUUGUAUUAAGUGAAAUACACGUGUUAAAAUUCCGAGGCCAUCAUGCUAUGUUACACAGAUGGUCACCAUCCGCUGUAAGGUGGCUAAAGGGAAAGAGGUGAGUAGCUGGCUUGGGGUAGCCACCCAAUAGGGCUAGCCACCCAAUAGGUAUAUAGCCACAUUAUACCUUACCCCUUUACUAUGCCUGGCCUGAUCUACUGCAGCAAUGAGCUGUUCACUCUUUUUGGGCUGGGCUCAGUAGUUCACACCUGUAAUAGCAGCAUUUUGGGAAGCUGAGGCGGGAGGGUCACUUGAAGCCAGGAGUUCAAGAUCAGCCUGGACAGCAAAGCAAAACCCCCAUCUCCGUAAAAACAUGAAAAAUAAAGAAUUUUAAUUAUCCAGGCAUGGUGUACGCCUUCAGUCCCAGCUACUCAGGAGGCUGAAGUGAGAGGAUCACUUAAGUUCAGGAGUUUGAGGCUGCCAUGAGCUAUGAUCGCACCACUGCACUCCAUCCUCGGAGACAGCAAGACCUUAUCUUAAAAAAUAAGUUGGUUUUUUUUUUUUAAAAAAAACUAAGUUUUAUUUUAUUUUUUGAAGUUAGAAAGUAUGCAACUUGUCUGUGGGAGACAAAAACUCUGAGAAAUAUAUUAAACAUUGGAAAGGAAGGGAGAGUAGGGGUACAUUGUUCAGGGUUGCAAAGUGAAGUUGAGAGUCUUAAAUAGAGGGAGGCCUAUGUACUUUCUUAAAAUCAAACCAACAGCAAAUAGGAACACAAGCAAUAGAUUCUGGAAGAAUUGUUUGCUAUGGAGUAAAUCAUGUAUUUGUCUAUUCACCAAAUGCUAUAUACCUAGAUGCUUCUACAAGGAAGAACAAAAAACCAUGUUAAUGAACUCAGACAUUUGAAUAGUGUUGUUGCUGUCCAUAGAUGAGAGCUUUAAUAGUGUUGUUGCUGUCCAUAGAUGAGAGCCUAAGCAGUUUUCCUACCAGCAAAGAAUAAUGUACCUUGAGAAAGAUGUGUGAACAUGUAAGUUCCUAUUAAUGCACAUUUAUCACAAAAAUUAAUCUGAGCAUAAGCAAUGGGCAAUGUGAGUGUUGAGGAUCGCUUGAAAUCAGGAGUUCGAGACCAGCCUGAGUAGCAAAGCAAGACCCCUACCCCCGCCAUCUACACAGAAAAAAAAAUUAAUGGUAACUAAAACACAACGAAAAUAUUGUCAAUCAGAAACAAAUAAUACAUGAGAAAGAAACGAAGCCAUAACUACCAAAACCAGAAAUGUAUGUCUCAGAGACCAGAAAACACUUUUGAUCCAAAAUUAAAUAUCCAAUAUUUUCACACAGUUAGAAUUCAUCUUAUAUUUCUAGUCUAAUCUAUGCUUGACGCUUUCCAUUGCUACUGGGUGACACGGAUCACUUUUCUCUAAUUUUGUUUUCAGUUUUGCUAUUUCUUAUAUUGUGUAUCUGCCUCCAUGAGUUUUAAAUGGCUAAAUUAUUUGCUUAGAAUUCAGGUGUUUUUCUUAACAGAUUAUUUCUAGCUGAAGCUGUUUCUGUCACAUAUUGUUGAAUUCCAAAUGCCCCCCUAAAACAUAACCAUAAAAGUAAUUUCUUUCCUAUCCUCAUCAACACUUCAGAUAGUUAAUAGCUGCGGGCACAUGUUAUAAAAGAAGUUGCUGAAGAAGGGAACUUGAAGUGAAUUUGGCAUAGAGUCAUGGAUGGUACUAAACACAUGGAUGAAGUUAUUUACUUAAAAUUUUUCUUGUCGGCCUGAUUUGGCUAUAUUUUCAAAAUUGACACAUACUAUGCUGUAGACUUCUAUUUUCACUAGCUGAGAAACAGAAUGAUUACAGACUUUUGCAUGUUAUGCAUUUUUAAAUAUCACCAAGUUAAACUUAGAUUUUGAUUCCGUGCCCAGGACCAAGUGGAAAAAAAUCUCCAUCUUCAAUAGUUCCUAUUAUCUUUUAGUCACAGGGCCACAUACUGUAUUUCUUCCAUGAGUAAAACUCCCACUUGGAAUUCCAAGCAUUGCAUAACUAGUGGAGUAUUCAUAUCAUAUAUAACUCAGUAGGCCUUCAUAUCCUAAUCAGCUAUUUCAUCUGCACAAUAUUCUUCUUAGCAGUUAAAAAUCUUAAAAUCAUAGUUCAGAAUGGAGCCAACAUUUAAUUCAGCCAACAAAUAUUUAUUAAACACCUACUUCUACUACUGGUGUUACAACCAUGACUACUACUUUACAUAGUUUUGUAUUGCUUUAAAUUGUUUUUACAAACCUCAUCUCAUUUACUACAGUGAAAUUACCUACUGCUUUGAAGGAGCUUAGAGACUCAUAAAGUAGAUUAAAUCAAUUGUCAGAAAAACUGGGCUUUAAAGAACUUGUCUACGAUGGUACCGGCUACUGUAGUAUUUUAGAUGAUUUUGGUGAACUCUCAGUUGAUUUUAGGUAAAAGAUUCAUCUGCACAAAUGUAUAUUUAUCUUUCAUUGUAUUUUUUAUUACAAUCUAAUAUUUUUUAAAAGCUAAGAAAAUGCAAUGAAAAUAACAUUUUAAAAAGUGUCAGCUAUAUGAAUGAUAUUCUUUAAUGCAUGUCACAUUUAAAAUAUGACCUAUUUUUAAAGUACAUUGUAUAUGUCACAAGCCAGAUUUGGUCACAGGCCAUGGUUUGCUAAUCUCUGUCCUAAAGCAAUAUGGUAGUUCUGAACGUUUGGCUGAAGAACAUGGAUGGCGGUAGAAGUCCCUAAACUGGUCUUCAUAGCUUAGAAUAACAGAACUGCUGAGUUUGAAGGAAACCGAACAACUUAUCUCACUUACUCUCCAAACACUGUUCAAUUUCUCUUCAUACUUUUUUUUACAAUGUGGUAGUCUCUAUAUUUAUAUUUGAUUCAAAAUAUAAUGUUUUAAAACGGCCUGUACUGAUGUCUCUUCAAAAUCUUUAUCUUGCUUAAUCUUAGAAACUUUCUUGCCAAGGAGUGUAGGAGUAGACAUGAUAGCAAGGGAAAGGUAAUAGAAUAAAUUUUGAAAGCUAAAUGCUUUAUUUUGAUAUAGCUAAUAUUCAUAGACCUUAACAUUUACAUUAGUCAGCAAUCAACCAAAAGUCAUAGUUUCAAAUACACGAGGGCAGAAUCUGCCUAGCUACACAGGAUUUGACCACUUAAAAGUUGAGCUCUAUGAUUAUUCUGAUGAAGUGGAUUGGAGACCAUCACCUUUCUCUUAGUAAAUAUUUGUCCUUCACAUACCAAUCGUAAGUAUAAUUAAGCAUUUUUUACUUCAUCUGGUGCUUCAAAUUUUGUAUGAUGCAGGAUUUAGUUUUCUAUUCUAAUUCCUAAAAGCCAUAUUUCAGGCUGCAUUCUAUUAGGGGUGUCUCACUUAAAAUAAGAAUACUAUUAUGUAGCUUAACUUGCAUCUAUUUCCUUUUUAUUAUGGCCACUCAAUUGUUCCUGACUUUCUUUGGGAAUGAUUUGUUAAUUUUAUUCCAGUCUCAGCUAUGUGCCUUCACUUAACAAUGAACAUUGACUACUGGAUACUUAGCUUACCUUUUUUACAAGAUAUAUAUUUCAAGGUUUUGUUUUCAUAUAACAUAAAACAGUAAGGCAUUCAUUAAUCACUAUUAAAUUCAUUCUUUUCCUCUUUAUUGAAUUCUAAAGGAAAAUCAGCUAGUCUUUUUUUUGGCAUGUGUCAGCAAAAGUAUGUUAUUAUGAGGUGUUCUUAAAUAAUAUAUCUUCAUAAAACAAUAUAGGUGGAGGUUUAAGGAGAAAUAAGGAAAGAAAUUGGAACCAUCUGGAUAUCCAAAGUAGAGAAAAGUUUUUACUAAUGGUUGUCAUGUACACGUUACAAAAAUAACAUUAUACAGCUUUCUAACUGGACAGGAAAAGGCAGAACUAUCAAAAAGUUGAAAAAGAAGAUAGCCCUGGAGUGAAGCAAUUGACAAAUAAAAUCAUUUAUAAGACAUGCAUUUAGAAGAAAAGUGGAGAUUCAUGGUUCUUGGGUCAGUAAGGAUUAAACAUAUCUCAGAGAUGACCUGCUUGUUCCUGGGAAUCGAAAUACAGUUGCAUUCCAAAAAGGAUGGCUCCCUGGGAAAUGCAAGGAGGGGAGGACAGGAGGGAACAGAUUUUUGUUGUUGUUGUUUUUGUUUGUUUGCUUGUUUUCAGGGAUGAGUGGGAAAGCACCUUCUAUGUACUUGCUCCUAAAUCAGCCUGGUGAACUGGGAAGAGUAGAGAUUCCAUGAAAGAAAAGAAUGUGAAUACAUGCUUUGGAGAUAAGACAGAAAAUGGGAGAAAAAGCAAAGAAGGAAAGAAGGAAGGGAGGGAGGAAGAAAAGAGAGAUUCUCCAGAGACACACUGCACUCCCUCACAUGUAAAUGUUAUAUUAAAGAAGCAAUAUCACUGGAAAUUCACUUCAUCAGAUAUUUAAGUAUUAAUACAUAAAUUAGAAAUCAAUUUUAGGAGUGUUAUUCCUCCAAUACAAACAUUUUUUUCUGGCUUUUCAUCUCCUUGUCAUAUUCCCAGCAAAUAACCACACAGACGGGGUGUGUGUCUCUCCUUAAAUGAGAUUAGUGAAGGUGGCCCGAUCAAUUAUUUUUAAGCCUGACCAAAUAGGCGUACUCUAAUCUUGCCUAUUUCAGCAUAAUGUUGCCCAGCAUGAUAAAAUACUUAUUUAAACAGGUGUAUCAGUCUCAGAGAUCUGUAUGUAUAGUUUACCUUGAAGUCAAUUGAAAACAGAAUAUUCCUUAUUGAUUUUGCCUGCCUGGCUGCUAUAUGUAGUCAAUGGGACUCACGUGGAUGUAAAUAGAGUGAAUCAACUCCUUGCUGGCCCUGGACCUCCUUGAGUCAUGUGAAGUAGGUUUCUGAUUCCUUUAUGUUCAGGCACAGCCAGGGAGACAAGAGUACUACUGUCUUCUGCUGGUGCAGAGAGUUACCUCAGGCUAUGCAGGAAAAAUCCUUUUUUCUUAUUUUUAGACCUGAAUCAGUCUAUGCCACUAAAUGUAUUCUUGUGAAUACAGAUGCACUUUGUUGUCAUGCUCGUGGGAAGGCAAUGGAGUAACCUGUUUGGACGCAGCUGCAGGCCACCUGUAGAGAAAGUCAAAUUAGGGAGAGACCCCACUGUUCUUUGCAUUAAUGCUUUUUGUAUUGUUGUUUGACUUUUCCCCCUCUGUCGAUGUAUCUUUUUCAACUAGGGAGAUCGGGAGCACAUUUUAAGGCCUUCUGUCCCUUUAAGGCAUCUAAUGAUUGAAAGGACUCUAAGAUUUGAAAGGCUGUAAAAACUCCCCAGUUGGCAAUGAAUGAUGGCAAUACAAAGAAUCUUAAAGCUGUUGAAGUUGAAGUAGUCUUCUUACAGAUUUAGUUUGUUUGGUGAACUUCCAGCGGCAGCUCUUACAAGGUACUGUUCAAAUAUUCCCACCUAUCUGUGCUGCUGCUCCUUCUAAAGAUUUAUCAUGUUCUCAGUGGAAAAGUAGUUAUCCAUAUUAGCAGUUAACUUUACUACAGAUAAGAAACAAAAGAAAUUCUAAAAGAAGAAGAAUAAACUCCUCUUCUUCCUUUCCUCAUCUACCAAUGUGAAGCUCUAAAAAAGAAGCCCAUAAAUGAAAUAUCUACUUUAGCCAUAAAUAUUAAGGGAGGGAAAUGCACAAAUAAAACUUGUUUCUGGAAAGCUUGAUUUUGGCUGAAUAUCAAAAACCAUUUCCUGACAAUGAAAUCCAUUAGACUACGAAAUAAUCUCUCAAAGUAGUGGUUGCAUUGCUUAUAAGAUUUAACAUUUAAGGUUAGGCUGAAGACAGCCACAGAUCCUCAGGCUCAAAUGCAGAAUGUUAUUUCAGAAGUUGGAGGGACCUACUCUUUUGAUCCUAGCUGUUUCUCUUGUUUUGGGUUCCUUUACUUGGAAAUUCAGGUUAUAAUAUAGGGUUUUAUAUUAAUUUUUUGGUGUCCUCCACCAUGGAUCCUUGAGAGCUGUUUCAGCUGACUGGGAUCGAAUCACAUGAACCAGCCUGACUGUGUUUGUGUGUGUGCACUGUUCUUCACGCAUCUGAAGCAGAGGAGUCGUCACAAUUAUUCUAAAUGCAGUUAGAGGAUUCUGUCUGCCUCAGCUUUACAAUGUUUAUCAAGCUCCUGUAUUAACUCAGUAACACAACCUGCCAUUACAAAAUUCAAACUUUUGAUAACCAGCAUUUCACCAAUAUGAAUUUAUUUAUACAAGAUGCCCUUUCAGAGAACAUAUUAUAUCUAGGUAGUGACUGAGAGGUUCCCUAAUCAAUUCUUCAAGAUGCAGCUUCAGUACCUUAGUCCUGAGGACCAUGACUAAAUUCAUUUGAUACAUGUAUGUUAUAUAUUCCACUAAAAUCAAAGAAGAUAUGAUAGAAUUUGUUGCAACUAAAUAGUGGCACUCAGACAACUUUAAUUCUCAAAUUCUUGGCACGCAUCCUGAAAACUCGACUCUGCGCUUUCUCCUAAAUGCUCUGCUCUCUUUUGCUUUAUUGUAGUGAAGAAAAGAGAAAAGUAAUGAUAAUACCGUGCAUAGCAUAAUAUUUUACAGGGUUUUUUUGUUUUGUUUUGUUUUGUUUUUGUUUUUGUUUUUUGAGACAGUCUCACUCUGUCGCUCAGGCUGGAGGGCAAUAGAGCAAUCUCAGCUCACUGCAACCUCCACCUCCCAGGUUCAAGUGAUUCUCAUGCCUCAGCCUCCUGAGUAGCUAGGAUUACAGAUAUGCACCACCAUGCCUGGCUAAGUUUUGUAUUUUUAGUAGAGACGGGAUUUUACCAUGUUGGCCAGGUGGGUCUUGAACUCCUGCUUUGGCCUCCCAAAGUGCUGGGAUUACAGAUAUGAGCCACUGCACCCAGCCAUACUUUGCAUUUUUACAGCUUGUUUUCACCUAUAUUUUUUGACUAAAUGCUCACAACAGCCCAGCAACUGAGGCUGAGAUUAAGUGAUAAGAUUCAGGACUUGAAGGAUGGAGCUCUGACUCUAAGCUCUUUGCUCUGUCCACCUCAGCGCCAUAGCUGAAUUCUCAUAUGAAGAACAUUUUUCAUGUGGUAUUCUAUUCUGCUGGGACUGACACAUAAUUAGCACCUUAAACUAUAUAUCCAGGUAAAGAAUUAGUCCUGUGUCAGAAACAAGGCAUUUCCAGAAGCAUAAAGUAUAGCACCUCACAACAAGGUAGUUGGAACCCAGGGUCAAAAACAAGACAGAUACCCCAGGGGAAAAAACCAUGUCCCUAGCUAAUAUCCCUAGCAAAUGAUCCCUAGCUAAUCAUGAUGCCAAGGUAUGCUGCCUCAGGAAUCAGAUUCGCGGCAUUUAAAGUAAGAAAUUUUUGACUUCCAAUGUAGGGAGACAGAACUGAUGGGCCACAGGGAGCCAAUUGAAACCUACCUUAAAAGCAUUCACCUCCAGGCAUGGUGGCUCAUGCCUGUAAUCCCAGCACUUUGGGAGGCAGAGGCAGGCGAAUUGCCUGAGCUCAGGAGUUCGCGAACAGCCUGGCCAACACGGUGAAACCCUGUCUCUACUAAAAUACAAAAAAAAAAAAAAAAAAAAAAAAAAAAUUAGCCAGGCAUAGCGGCGUUUGCCUGUAGUUCCAGCUACUUGGGAAGCUGAGGCAGGAGAAUUGCUUGAAACUGGCAGGCAGGGGUUGCAGUGAGCGGAGAUGGUGCCACUGCACUCCAACCUGGGCGCCAGAGCAAGACUCUGUCUCAAAAAAAAAAAAAAAAAAAAAAAAAAAAAAAAAAAGCCAUACAUCUGUCUCUUUCGCUACCUGUGUUUUGAAGUUGAAAUGAUUUUAUACUACUUUUAUCCUUGGAUGCUUUCUUCAUAGCUUAACACAGGUAUUGUUUACCAAUUAAAAUGGGAAGCUGGUUUAAAUAUCAGCAAUCAUGCUACAACAGCACAAUUGAAGGAGUAUUUGACUCAAAGCCUUGGCUCUCCUAUUCACAAAUUUUGAGUGGUUAUUUCAUUGAACUUCCAUUUACUAUCUUCUAAAAUGUGGAGAAUAUGAACUAAUAACUUUUCCCCAGAUUGUUGUGAUUCUUAAGUGGGAUAGCGAAUGUGAGUGCUUUGUUAUCUGUAAUGCACUAUAUCAAUAUUAUUGUUAUAUUUUGCUUCAAUAUAUUUAUUAGCUUGCUAAAAUAACUUCCUAAGUUAUCUAGCUAAUCGCCUUUUUAACACCCCAGUCUGAUCUCUGCGUGCACUCAGCUCAUAUCAGAGUAGUUAAAAGUAAAAUGGGAAAACGUGAGCAAUGUAUAACAAUCCUUAUUUCAACCACUGUAUAUAGACAACUCCUAUUUUUUGUCAGCUGGUAUAUGAGACAUCCACAUGCAACCAUAAAGCCUGUGUUGUAAAGAAGUUUUUAAUGCCAGAAAUCCCAUAUGGUUUUGAUGUAACUAAAAGGUGUACACUUUCCUCAAGGUCAAGUCUAAAAAUUGGACCACUACAGGCUCUGACCACAUGUAUGAGAAGCCAAAGGACCUGUGAUCUCACCUGCCUCAAUCAUGUGCCAUUAUUUACUCCACUUGCCUCUUCUGAAUGGGUAUGAUCCCAACCAAACAUAGUGAAGGGGAAAGUUAAACAAUAUUUGGAAAGCCAUGUAUUUGGAAAGCCAAUGUAAAAGUGAAAAGAAGGCCACCCACGAGAGAGAGAGAGAGAGAGAGAGAGACAGAGAGAGAGAUCUUUCAUUUGUGAAUUGCAAAGCUUCAGAGGUCCGAAUUUGGCCAGUAUGUUUGCUGCAAAGCCUUGGAAUGCUGUUUUGCAGUUUCAAAAGUGAUCAUACUCAGCUUCCCAGAAUUUUUUAUGCCUGGAGGAUGCCACAAGAACAAGGGCAGCCUUGUUAACAAGUUCCAAUCUCUCAAAAACAAGAUAGGAUUCGGAUAUAAAUCAUCAUUUCAGCUCACAAAGCCAUGUUCUCCACCCCACUGAAGGGCUUCAUUUACAUCUAAAAUGGUUAAUACUGAUCUGCACCAGAACUCCUAAGUGGAGGAAUGCAGCUGCCAUGUGCUUAGUGACUCUGGGGUUAGGGAAGAAUGACAUCACCAAAUGUAAGCAUAUUAUCAUGCUGACAUAGAGGCACCUUGUUUUCUCCUCUGUGGAUAGAGCAAGGAUUGUGUUCUGUCUCUUGUUUUUUUCCGCUCGAAGAAUACCUUUCCCCCUCCCUUCUUAGCAGCUGCAAUAUGAAGGGCUGAAAAUGUCACUUCAACUAAUGAUGAAUGAUGCUUGACCUCUGGAUGGGUUACUCAGAAUUUUAUGCAAUUCUAAAUUAAUAUGAAAGAUCCCAACUCAAAGGACUUCGGCCGUUAAGAUUUGCUUCAAGGAUAGAUUUGUGUAAAGCAGUUAGUAGCUUUGGGGAUUUUGUUGCUGUUGUUAUUGUACUUGGUGGGGGACUGGGAGACUCGUGCUCUGUAAGCAAGGUAAAAGGCAGAAUGUGCUAACAUUUUUAUGUGUUAUUUUUUUCCUGUGAGAUUAAUAUCUUUUUCUACUAGAAAUAUUGUCAGUAAGCAGAACCAGUUUGUGAAAAAAACAUUCUCAAAAGGGCACAGGCCCACACGUCUUUGUUGUUUUUAUUUGAAUAUAAUUAAUUAUGUAAAGCAAUAGUUAGUGUAAGAUUAACAAUUAGUAGAUUCUGUCAAGUAGUCACACGGAAAUUACUAACUAAUUGAACUACUGGUCGUCUAUUGUGUCAGAAAGCAGUACUGAGUGUCAUUCUUUUUAUCUUUUUACUUUGUUGUUUUCACAGAUCCUCUUGUUUCUAAGAUGUAUGUUUCACAGCCGACUAAUAAAUAAAUAACCCUGGUUGUAAUUUCAUAACAUGCAAAAAGGUUUGAAAUAAAAACACCUGUUUUAAUUAGCAUUAUGGUUUGUUCACUUUAAAAAAAGUGAUAAUCCUGAUGCAGUUAGCUGACAUUUUUAAAGCUUUGAAUUUCCAUCUGUAUCUUAUAUUAUGAUGUUUCAGGAUUGUCAUGAGUUAAUUAUGUUAACUUGGGAAGCAUUGCUUGCAUUUAGAAUGAAAAACUUCAGCUUGAAUAGACAGAAAAGCAGAUGCUAUCUUUCUUGUCAAUUGCUUUGUUGUGGGCUGCCUUGCAAGUUUUCAUGUAUUUCUGGAUCUAAAAGGAAGUGUAAAUCUCUAUUUAUUUUAAGUUUAACAUAAACUACACAAUUUCAGUAUUCUUCUGUUUUGGCUGUAUGUGUCUUGUGUAUCUUUACAUGUGUAGCUUUCCUGCCCCCAAAUUCAGAAAUCCACAGUCAAAUUAUCUCUUCUUUAAUUCUUAAUUUGUUUUGUUGUGCCUAGGCAUUAUGGAGAUUAGUACAUAAUAAAAUUUAAGAAUAGGACAACUCUACUGGCUCAAUUCUCUCUCUAGUUAUUUUUUUCUACCACCUUUUUGCUUUUGUACAUCAACCUUUUAAAUGGUACAAAAUACAUGCAGCAUCUGGGCACAACAAGGCAUGUUAAGAAUGGAGUAGGCACUCUAAGUAGGAAUUUCCAUGCUUUUGUGAGUUUAAUGUUCCUUUAACAUAGAGAGCAGCUGUGUUUAUGUCAAUAAUUACACAUUGGGAUAAAUGCGUGUACAUGUUUUUCUUUAUGGGAUUAAGGAUGUUAGGUAUGGCCUUACACAAAAGAUUCUUGUCCCUCCCAUACCCACCCAAAAAGUUUCUAUAAAAUUCAAAACCAAGUUACACUGUUCUGAGAUUCUGAAAUAUUUCUCUAGGCAUUUGCACUUCUAGAUUUCAACUGACAGAAUAUGGGAUUGAUGUGUUUGUAAUCUUCUCUUUGCCCCCCCACCUCAUACCCAUUCUCCACUCUUCACUACCCUGUUCGGUACCCAGGAUCUGUAUGCACUCGCCUUCCAACAGGCUUCCAACUAGAUUGGGCCAACGAGAGGCAUCUGCAGCAGAACAGAGGGCAGGAGACAAUGCAAGAAUGCCAGGACUGUGAAUGCUUAAUCCCUGAAUUGGUGCCAUGAGCAAUAAAUGCUCGUGCUCAAAAGAAAGUGAGAUCAAGGAAAAGUGGAUCACUCUAGGCAGAACUUCUGGGAUAAACAAUCUUCCUUUGGGCUUUAAAGAAGUGGUGGGAUUGGGCCAUAGGAGGUGGGUGGGUAUGAUAGCUUAGGUCAAGAAUGAGCAAGAACCACAGUAUGGUUCUUGCUUGGGAAUAUCGAGUAUACUAGUAUAAUGGGCCCAGAUGCUCAGGUCUGAAUGAGGUCAAAUUUUAAGACUGAAUGGCAGGUUGUGGCCUGGAAAAAGAGGCCUCGAAUGAUGGAAUUAGAAAACUUAGUGUUUAAAAUGUAUGGUGAAGGUGUGUUCAGUAUAUAAAUCCAAUCUGUAAGUGAUAUGGAAAGUGGAAGUUUAUUCAAUGCCUUAUCACAUAUUCAAAUGAACGUAUGGCUGCUCUACCACUUAAAAAUAGCUCUGUUCAUUAAAGGAAAUGUAACCUAGAUUUUCAGAAAAUUAAAAUACAAUGUUCUUAAGUCAGUUUAAACUUUAACUGAGAUUCAUAGUUUGGUUCUGCCUUCCUAAGCAUUUGGACUAAGGCAGAGAGUAUAAAUCUGAUGGGUCAUCUUCCUGACCAAUCGACUUUCCAUUUUGAUUGCAAACAAUCCACUUGUUUAUUUAGAUACAACCACUGAACCAAGUCAUUUAGACACAAACAUUGAACAACAACCCAUGUGUUUCAUUCCUCUCAACUUUAGGUGUAUUUUGCCUCAUAAAAUGUACGGCAUUGUAAUUGUUAUUAAUUAGCUACACAUCAAAGAGCUUGGGUUAGCAGUGGGCCAUGAUGGCCUGAAUCACAAAGUGUGACUUGUUCAGUGUAUUUAUUUAUUUAUUUAUUUAUUUAUUUGAGACAGUCUCACUCUGUCACCCAGGGUACAGUGCAGUGGUGUGAUCUCGGCUCACUGCAGCCUCUGCCUCCUGGAUUCAAGCAAUUCUCCUGUUUCAGCCUCCCGAGUAGCUGGGACUACAGGCACGCACCAUCAUGUCCGGCUAAUUUUUGUAUUUUUAGUAGAGACGGGGUUUUGCCAUGUUGUCCAGGCUGGUCUCGAACUCCUCACCUCAAGUGAUCCAACCACCUUGGCCUCCCAAAGUUCUAGGAUUACAGGCGUGAGCCACUGCACCUGGCCUUUUACAGUGUAUGUAAGACUAACACUACUCCUCUAGAAACAAGGCUGUAUACCGUAAUGGAAUUUACCUUCCCAACCAAGCUGAUUUGUUUAGAUGCUGAUCAUUGGAAAUAAAUUAUUAAUCCAGGAA